GAGGGCGCCACAAGACCUGCUAACUCUUUAAUCUGGAA
rnacentral:tRNA from 1 species